AACGAACGCUGGCGGCAUGCCUAACACAUGCAAGUCGAACGAGACCUUCGGGUCUAGUGGCGCACGGGUGCGUAACGCGUGGGAACCUGCCCUUAGGUUCGGAAUAACUCCCCGAAAGGGGUGCUGAUACCGGAUAAUGUCUUCGGACCAAAGAUUUAUCGCCUUUGGAUGGGCCCGCGUUGGAUUAGCUAGUUGGUAGGGUAAAAGCCUACCAAGGCGACGAUCCAUAGCUGGUCUGAGAGGAUGAUCAGCCACACUGGGACUGAGACACGGCCCAGACUCCUACGGGAGGCAGCAGUGGGGAAUAUUGGACAAUGGGCGAAAGCCUGAUCAAGCAAUGCCGCGUGAGUGAUGAAGGCCUUAGGGUUGUAAAGCUCUUUUACCCGGGAUGAUAAUGACAGUACCGGGAGAAUAAGCUCCGGCUAACUCCGUG
rnacentral:rRNA from 1 species